GAUGAACGCUGGCGGCGUGCCUAAUACAUGCAAGUCGAGCGAACAGAUGAGGAGCUUGCUCCUCUGACGUUAGCGGCGGACGGGUGAGUAACACGUGAUAACCUACCUAUAAGACUGGGAUAACUUCGGGAAACCGGAGCUAAUACCGGAUAAUAUAUUGAACCGCAUGGUUCAAUAGUGAAAGACGGUUUUGCUGUCACUUAUAGAUGGAUCCGCGCCGCAUUAGCUAGUUGGUAAGGUAACGGCUUACCAAGGCGACGAUGCGUAGCCGACCUGAGAGGGUGAUCGGCCACACUGGAACUGAGACACGGUCCAGACUCCUACGGGAGGCAGCAGUAGGGAAUCUUCCGCAAUGGGCGAAAGCCUGACGGAGCAACGCCGCGUGAGUGAUGAAGGUCUUCGGAUCGUAAAACUCUGUUAUUAGGGAAGAACAAAUGUGUAAGUAACUAUGCACGUCUUGACGGUACCUAAUCAGAAAGCCACGGCUAACUACGUG
rnacentral:rRNA from 1 species